rnacentral:rRNA from 1 species
GAUGAACGCUGGCGGCGUGCCUAAUACAUGCAAGUCGAGCGAACGGACGAGAAGCUUGCUUCUCUGAUGUUAGCGGCGGACGGGUGACUAACACGUGGAUAACCUACCUAUAAGACUGGGAUAACUUCGGGAAACCGUAGCUAAUACCGGAUAAUAUUUUGAACCGCAUGGUUCAAAAGUGAAAGACGGUCUUGCUGUCACUUAUAGAUGGAUCCGCGCUGCAUUAGCUAGUUGGUAAGGUAACGGCUUACCAAGGCAACGAUGCAUAGCCGACCUGAGAGGGUGAUCGGCCACACUGGAACUGAGACACGGUCCAGACUCCUACGGGAGGCAGCAGUAGGGAAUCUUCCGCAAAGGGCGAAAGCCUGACGGAGCAACGCCGCGUGAGUGAUGAAGGUCUUCGGAUCGUAAAACUCUGUUAUUAGGGAAGAACAUAUGUGUAAGUAACUGUGCACAUCUUGACGGUACCUAAUCAGAAAGCCACGGCUAACUACGUG